CCUGCCUCGGCCCCUGCGGUCGCCCGGCUCCUCCGAGCGGGGGCUGGGGGCUGGGACCCCUGUCUCCGGACUGGCUGCGCCUCUGGGCUUCCCACUUGGGGCCUCAGUUUCCACAGCGCGGGAGGACACGGGUAAGGUGGAUGGGGACCACCAGCUCCACCAGAUCAUUCUGCCCUUUCAUGGAAACAGGAUUACAGAGAUGUUCUCUCGAAGGCAACCUUAGGCUUUGCGGUGGAGCUGGAAUCCAGAGGGGAGGCCUAGAUGCAGGAAAUGCUCCCCAAGUGCAGAAGACCAAGAUAGUCACUGCAUCAUUGUUGGGAACACAGAAAACUGGAAGUGACCCAAGUUGUGAUCCCUGACGCGUUGCCUAAGUAAAGCAGGCUACAUCCGCACAAUGAAGUGCUAUGUGUGUCUUUUAAAAGACCGAGGUAGCUCCUCUGCACAGACGUGGGAAGAUACAUACGAUGUAAUAUGAGAUGCGUUUCAUAGGGGAAAAGCCAUAAUGAAUGUGCUAUGGCCCUCUGUUCAUAGAAACUGGAAGUGUUCAGAGGGUCUGUUUUGUGUUCCUGUGCGUUAUCUCAGUGCAGGGUAGAAAUAUGGAAGGAGUUCAUAUCACAACGAGGACUUUCCCUUUCUAAACUCUGUGUUUUCCCAACUUGAAUUUUUGACCACUCACGCCUUUUUUGGGCCAUGCUUUGUUUUAGACGAGCACAGAGGCAGUAAGUAACAGCCAAGCAAGGCAGCGUUUUGUUACAGAAUAAAAAGUGGUUGAUGAAAAUGAUAGGCUCGCUGCUUGGAGGCCACAGCACAGGACUGGCCUAGGCAUGACAACAGCCAGAAAGCAGGAAAACCUCACCCCUUGAGGACUGCGUACCGCAUGUGAAGUGCAAACUGGCCAUUCCCAGGGUGUCUACAAGGGUUUAAGCGAUGUUGAUGGCUGAAUCUUAUUUAAAUUGUCUAAAUUCUAUCUUAACAAGAGUGUAAGUCGUUGUUGCAUUUCUACUUAAGUUCGAGUGAAACUGACUUCUGUGAAAUCAGAGAUGUUAUCUCCAGCACUUGGCUUAGGGUCUAAGCCGUGAACACAGCAGGCACUCAGUAAAUGGUUGUGCUUGGCAGACAACACACCGCCAAUGGGGUGAAUUCACUUGCUCCUUCUCUGCCUGACGAUAGAGCCUCCAACAGCAUCUCAACAAAAGGGGAAGAACACCUGAACAUCAUCCUUUUAUAAUCAGGAAAAACACAUUAAAGAUUAAGUGAAAUACAUGAUAACUAGAAAAGCCACACCCUCGCCUAGUCAUUCGUUUACUCAGUAAGCGUGUGCCAGGCUACCUGCUGAGUCCCAGGCACUGAGGCCAGGUGUGGGGGUUGCAGAGACUGAUACACAUGGCUCCUGCCCUCAAGGAGCUUCUGCUCUAACGGGGGAAUCACAUGUGGCUUCUGGUGGGAGCCUUAGGCGUGGAAGGUGCAGGGGAGAAGCCGCUCGGGCUCAGGUCUCAUGGGGUGGAGGAGGGGCUGCUGGGACAGACUCCCAGAGAGAGCGCAGUAGGCUCAGAGCUCAGGACCGAAGGGGUCCUUGGACGUGGC